ensembl:lncRNA
CGAGGACGACGGGAUGACGAUGAGGAGCGGACCAGGGAGAGGACGGCUGGAGGAGCAGUGCUCUACGGUCCGGAGGGACCCCCCCCGCCCCGGAGGGACCCCCGCCCGAGGGUGUUUCACCCUCAGUGCCUCCGAGCCAAUCAGAGGAGAGCGCCAGUCAGAGCGCUGGAUUAGGGGUCCCGGUCUAGGUGGGGCCCGGUCUAGGUGGGUCCCGGUCUAGGUGGGUCCCGGUCUAGGUGGGGCCCGGUCUAGGUGGGGCCCGGUCUAGGGGGGGUCUGGGGGUCCAGUUCUAGUGGAGGUUCAGGUAUAGGGGGGUCCCGGUCUAGGGGGUCCCGGUCUAGGGGGCCCGGUCUCACGGGGUCCAGUUCUAGUGGAGGUUCAGGUAUA